AUGUGCUGUUUCUUUGUUUUUUACAUAGCCACCCAGUUUAGAGCUCACAGCCGCAGUGUGUCUUGUGGCACAGAGACCACGACGGAAAUUCAUCUUCCAGAAGGUCCCAGAGCAGCGCCCACACCCCUGAAUAGACCAAGAUGUGAGGUGUCUGCUGUUGAUUCCAGCUUCCACCUCAGUGACAGUGCAAGCUCAGUGAACUGUUCAAGGACACUCAUCAAAAUAUGGACUCUACACCAUGAGCCUGGCUGAUCACCUGAUAACUCCUGUCAUCUGGUUAUGACAGCAUGAGGAUGUCCUCACACACCUGUAACCUAUCAGCUCAUCUGGCAGAAUAGAGAGAGAAGAGACAACACCACUUCUCCUGUUCCUGGAAAGCCUUCAGCCAUCCUUUGAUGACUGAGAACCUCCAUUAGCUCUGUCUCCUGUCUGCCUACAAUUAUUAUAAUAAAUAUUGUGUUUGACAAGUUUUUUUGUGCUGCCAAAUAUCUCAUUUUGAUUCCAGUUUUGAUAUUUUAAUGGAUAUUUAUAAAUUACAUUAAUUGAAUUAUCACAUUGCAUGUUUAACUAGCUCUAUUGAGAUGAAUUAAACUAGCACCUCACUGUUAAAAGCUCGUUUUAAUUUCAAGCAUGUUUAUGUAUUUAUGGACAUGAACAAAAACAGGAAAUAUAUAAAUUGAGAUUUAUUUAAUUAAUAUAACAAAUAAGGGGGAAAGAGUCAUUGAAAGGCACAUUCUUCUAGAAGCUCCUGAUCCUGACGACACCAGCAGGAGACCACCUGCAGACACCAGAGGGUCACCUACAAGAGAGCAGCUGGUAUCAGUAAAUAAAUAAUGAAAUCAGGGCAGUUUUAGUGGGCUGAACACAUUACAGAAUAAUUUCUCAUGGGGUAUUUUCAUAACUUUCUAUGCAGCAGACUGUAACUUAAGCCCAGGGCUACCGGAGAGCUGCUAUCCAGCACGUUUCAGUGGUUUUCCUGCUUUAACAGGUUAGAUUAGCUGUUAAGCAGCUCAGCUAUUUGUUGCUGAUUAAAACCAGGUGUGUCCAGGGGGUGGCCUGGGGUAGCACAUGCCACCCUUGGAAUCUGAUUGGCCAUCCCACUGAAUUUCCUUUAAAUAUACUUUU
rnacentral:lncRNA from 1 species